rnacentral:rRNA from 1 species
AACGAACGCUGGCGGCAUGCCUAACACAUGCAAGUCGAACGAAGUGGCGCACGGGUGCGUAACGCGUGGGAAUCUGCCUUUGCUUCGGAAUAACAGUUAGAAAUGACUGCUAAUACCGGAUGGCAAAGGAUGAGCCCGCGUAGGAUUAGGUAGUUGGUGGGGUAAAGGCCUACCAAGCCGACGAUCCUUAGCUGGUCUGAGAGGAUGAUCAGCCACACUGGGACUGAGACACGGCCCAGACUCCUACGGGAGGCAGCAGUGGGGAAUAUUGGACAAUGGGCGCAAGCCUGAUCCAGCAAUGCCGCGUGAGUGAUGAAGGCCUUCGGGUCGUAAAGCUCUUUUACCAGGGAUGCAGUACCUGGAGAAUAAGCUCCGGCUAACUCCGUGCCAGCAGCCGCGGUAAUAC